rnacentral:rRNA from 1 species
UGCGUAGGUGGUUUCUUAAGUCAGAGGUGAAAGGCUACGGCUCAACCGUAGUAAGCCUUUGAAACUGGGAAACUUGAGUGCAGGAGAGGAGAGUGGAGUUCCUAGUGUAGCGGUGAAAUGCGUAGAUAUUAGGAAGAACACCAGUGGCGAAGGCGGCUUACUGGACGGUAACUGACGUUGAGGCUCGAAAGCGUGGGGAGCAAACA